AUUGAACGCUGGCGGCAUGCCUUACACAUGCAAGUCGAACGGUAACGGGCCUUCGGGUGCCGCCGAGUGGCGAACGGGUGCGUAAUACAUCGGAACGUGCCCGAUCGUGGGGGAUAACGAGGCUAAAGCUUUGCUAAUACCGCAUACGAUCUACGGAUGAAAGCAGGGGACCGCAAGGCCUUGCGCGGACGGAGCGGCCGCUGGCAGAUUAGGUAGUUGGUGGGGUAAAAGCUUACCAAGCCGACGAUCUGUAGCUGGUCUGAGAGGAUGAUCAGCCACACUGGGACUGAGACACGGCCCAGACUCCUACGGGAGGCAGCAGUGGGGAAUUUUGGACAAUGGGCGCAAGCCUGAUCCAGCCAUGCCGCGUGCAGGAUGAAGGCCUUCGGGUUGUAAACUGCUUUUGUACGGAACGAAAAGCCUUCUUUUAAUACAGGAGGGUCAUGACGGUACCGUAAGAAUAAGCACCGGCUAACUACGUG
rnacentral:rRNA from 1 species